rnacentral:rRNA from 1 species
UACGGAGGGAGCUAGCGUUGUUCGGAAUUACUGGGCGUAAAGCGCGCGUAGGCGGCUUUGUAAGUUAGAGGUGAAAGCCCGGAGCUCAACUCCGGAAUUGCCUUUAAGACUGCAUCGCUAGAAUCAUGGAGAGGUUAGUGGAAUUCCGAGUGUAGAGGUGAAAUUCGUAGAUAUUCGGAAGAACACCAGUGGCGAAGGCGGCCAACUGGACGAAUACUGACGCUGAGACUCGAAAGCGUGGGGAGCAAACAGG